GACGAACGCUGGCGGCGUGCUUAACACAUGCAAGUCGAACGAUGACGACCGAGCUUGCUCGGUCUGAUUAGUGGCGAACGGGUGAGUAACACGUGAGCAACCUGCCCUUCACUCUGGGAUAACCUCGGGAAAUCGGGGCUAAUACCGGAUAUGAGCUCCUGUCGCAUGGCGGGUGUUGGAAAGUUUUUCGGUGAAGGAUGGGCUCGCGGCCUAUCAGUUUGUUGGUGAGGUAGUGGCUCACCAAGGCGAUGACGGGUAGCCGGCCUGAGAGGGCGACCGGCCACACUGGGACUGAGACACGGCCCAGACUCCUACGGGAGGCAGCAGUGGGGAAUAUUGCACAAUGGGCGAAAGCCUGAUGCAGCGAUGCCGCGUGAGGGAUGACGGCCUUCGGGUUGUAAACCUCUUUCAGCAGGGAAGAAGCGAAAGUGACGGUACCUGCAGAAGAAGCGCCGGCUAACUACGUG
rnacentral:rRNA from 1 species